rnacentral:rRNA from 1 species
UGGGGAGGGUGAUUUUGGUUUACUUGCUUGAAUUUUUUACUUUAUUAUUUAUUUUACCUUAUGGGACAUAUGAACUAUAUUUCCAAUGGUCUAUCUUGUAUAAAUAUUGUUACAGAGGGUAGGGGUUAAGUUUUGUGCCAGCAGCCGCGGUCAUACUCUUCCUAUUAAAUUGCAUAUAGCUAUAAGAGAGACCUUCUUGAAAUCUCCUUUAGUGGGUGAAAUCUUUAAAGGAAAUUAUUUUAAGCUUGAGUAGUUGUAACUGGUGUGGGGACCAGGAUUAGAUACCCUGUUACCCUAGGUCUAUUUUUAAGUAGUACUUGAUUAUCAAUAAACUUAAUCAUUCUGGCGGCUCACUAUUUCAACAGAGGAGCUUGUCGGGUUUGAUCGAUACCCCCCUUUUAUACGUACCUUUUUUAUUUUUAUGUACGGCUGUUUAGCUUUAAAUUAAAUUUUAUUACAUUAAUAUUUUUUGUGGUUAAUUCAGGUCAAUGUGUAGAUUAUAA